ensembl:miRNA
CCCGAGCCCCUCUCUGCGUGUUCACAGCGGACCUUGAUUUAAUGUCCAUACAAUUAAGGCACGCGGUGAAUGCCAAGAGAGGAGCCUCACA